GGAGAGAUGAAGAAGGAAUAUUUCUUUGUGUAUUCAAUAACUGUUAUUAAUUCUUUUUUUAUUAUUUCAACUUUAUAACGUGUUCCUGCCUAUCAGAUGACCUUCUUGGGUUGGAGAUGGCAUUUUAUUUUUACACACACACAAAUACUGUAGUAAAUUAAAAGGUCCAACGUCUCUUGAAGGCAUGCAUAUUAUCCUGUCACGAGUCUCACCUUUGCCUUGUCAACUGCCACACCCACCUCUUGCUGUCAAGUAAUCAUCCAGAUCUGGUGCAUCUGUCCACACCACCAUGUAAGCUCCAGCCUUGCCUUCGGUCAGUGCCAGAUUAUCCUUGCUUCCAGUGACUCACCUUUGGAUUCAUACCCCUGCUUAUUGCCCCACACUACACCUUCAGCCUUACCCCUGGAUUUGUUUGCUUCUCUCAGCGUCACGGUACAUGGCCCUUGGUCUGUCUCUGGAUCUUGAUUCUUUGGACCGCUCCACAGUGCGAGAAGGGACACUUCCACAUUCCUCAUCAACUGCGAGCUCAAACCAAGCAACACCUGCAAUCAAACCUGACCAGGACUCGGUUCCAUUCAGAAAAAAGGUCCGGACGCAGUGUUCGUCACUUCCUGUUUCUCCCGCAGCGAUUGCCACUAAUAAACUGUUUAAAACUU